rnacentral:rRNA from 1 species
CCUACGGGGGGCAGCAGUGGGGGAUAUUGCACAAUGGGGGAAACCCUGAUGCAGCGACGCCGCGUGGGUGAAGAAGCGCCUCGGCGCGUAAAGCCCUGUCAGCAGGGAAGAAAAUGACGGUACCUGAAGAAGAAGCCCCGGCUAACUACGUGCCAGCAGCCGCGGUAAUACGUAGGGGGCAAGCGUUAUCCGGAUUUACUGGGUGUAAAGGGGGAGCAGACGGCGAUGCAAGCCAGGAGGGAAAGCCCGGGGCCCAACCCCGGGACUGCUCUUGGAACUGCGUGGCUAGAGUGCAGGAGGGGCAGGCGGAAGUCCUGGUGUAGCGGUGAAAUGCGUAGAUAUCAGGAGGAACACCGGUGGCGAAGGCGGCCUGCUGGACUGCAACUGACGUUGAGGCCCGAAAGCGUGGGGAGCAAACAGGAUUAGAUACCCCAGUAGUC